CGCCUAACACAUGCAGGUCGAACGGACCUAUUAAGAUGGAAGCUUCGGCCGAAGUCUUUUGUGGUUAGUGGCAAACGGGUGAGUAAUAUAUAGGUAAUCUGCCCUCGAGACUGGGAUAACGUUCCGAAAGGGACGCUAAUACCGGAUACUCUCUUUUUAUCCAUGAUGAGAAGAGGAAAAGUCCGCUGCUCGAGGAGGGGCCUAUAUCAGAUUAGCUUGUUGGUGGGGUAAUGGCCUACCAAGGCAAUGAUCUGUAGCUGGUCUGAGAGGAUGGUCAGCCACACUGGGACUGCGACACGGCCCAGACUCCUACGGGAGGCAGCAGUGGGGAAUAUUGCGCAAUGGAGGAAACUCUGACGCAGCGACGCCGCGUGAGUGAUGAAGUCUUUCGGGAUGUAAAACUC
rnacentral:rRNA from 1 species